rnacentral:rRNA from 1 species
GUUGUUUAGUUGAAAAUUAAUUAAAUAAUUUUUGAUUUUAAGUAGUAUUGACUUCAUCAGCUUGCUGCUUUCUUUUCGGAAAUUAUUUAAUGCACUUUUCAGUUAACAAGUCAACAUCAAUUUCUUUUGUUGUAAAAGGGUAAGAGGAAGGUGGCUUACAUUUCGGUGUAAGUGUUUAUAGCCUUUUACCUCUGCAAUCGGAGAGAUUGAGGUCAGCAGCGUAGACUCUUCGGGGUUAGAUACGCUUGUGCUAAGCUAUAGCCUUGUAUAGACAACUUGUUGACUAUACUCAGUCAUGUAGCUUACUCGCUUGCAGUAUUUUACCUAC